AGAGUUUGAUUCUGGCUCAGGAUGAACGCUAGCGGGAGGCCUAAUACAUGCAAGUCGAGCGGUAGAGUCCUUCGGGACUUGAGAGCGGCGCACGGGUGAGUAACGCGUACAUGACCUGCCUUUAAGACCGGGAUAGCCCUGGGAAACUGGGAUUAAUACCGGAUGUGAUAAUAUGUAUAGAGAUAUAUUAUUAAAGUUGAGGCGCUUAGAGAUGGGUGUGCGUUUGAUUAGCUAGUUGGUAGGGUAACGGCCUACCAAGGCGACGAUCAAUAGGGGGCGUGAGAGCGUGACCCCCCACACGGGUACUGAGACACGGACCCGACUCCUACGGGAGGCAGCAGUAAGGAAUAUUGGUCAAUGGACGGAAGUCUGAACCAGCCAUCCCGCGUGCAGGAUGAAGGUCCUAUGGAUUGUAAACUGCUUUUAGCAGAGACGAAACGCCGACAUUUAUGUUGGUCUGACGGUAUCUGCGGAAUAAGCACCGGCUAACUCCGUGCCAGCAGCCGCGGUAAUACGGAGGGUGCAAGCGUUAUCCGGAAUCACUGGGUUUAAAGGGUGCGUAGGCGGAUGAUUAAGUCAGUGGUGAAAGCUGGUCGCUUAACGAUCA
rnacentral:rRNA from 1 species